rnacentral:rRNA from 1 species
UUAAGUUAAUAAGGGCGCACGGUGGAUGCCUUGGCACUAGAAGCCGAUGAAGGACGUGACUAACGACGAAAUGCUUUGGGGAGCUGUAAGUGAGCAAUGAUCCAGAGAUGUCCGAAUGGGGGAACCCGGCAGGUAAUGCCUGUCACUCAUUACUGUUAAGGUAAUGUAGAGGAAGACGCAGUGAACUGAAACAUCUAAGUAGCUGCAGGAAGAGAAAGCAAAAGCGAUUGCCUUAGUAGCGGCGAGCGAAACGGCAAGAGGGCAAACCGAAGAGUUUACUCUUCGGGGUUGUAGGACUGCAAUGUGGACUCAAAGAUUAUAGAAGAAUGAUUUGGGAAGAUCAGCCAAAGAGAGUAAUAGCCUCGUAUUCGAAAUAGUCUUUAUACCUAGCAGUAUCCUGAGUACGGCGAGACACGAGAAAUCUCGUCGGAAUCUGGGAGGACCAUCUCCCAACCCUAAAUACUCUCUAGUGACCGAUAGUGAACCAGUACCGUGAGGGAAAGGUGAAAAGCACCCCGGGAGGGGAGUGAAAUAGAACCUGAAACCGUGUGCCUACAACAAGUUCGAGCCCGUUAAUGGGUGAGAGCGUGCCUUUUGUAGAAUGAACCGGCGAGUUACGAUAUGAUGCGAGGUUAAGUUGAAGAGACGGAGCCGUAGGGAAACCGAGUCUUAAUAGGGCGCAUUAGUAUCAUGUCGUAGACCCGAAACCAUGUGACCUACCCAUGAGCAGGUUGAAGGUGAGGUAAAACUCACUGGAGGACCGAACCAGGGCACGUUGAAAAGUGCUUGGAUGACUUGUGGGUAGCGGAGAAAUUCCAAACGAACUUGGAGAUAGCUGGUUCUCUCCGAAAUAGCUUUAGGGCUAGCGUCGACAUUAGAGAUUCUUGGAGGUAGAGCACUGUUUGGGUGAGGGGUCCAUCCCGGAUUACCAAUCUCAGAUAAACUCCGAAUGCCAACGAGAUAUAAUCGGCAGUCAGACUGCGAGUGCUAAGAUCCGUAGUCGAAAGGGAAACAGCCCAGACCACCAGCUAAGGUCCCAAAAUAUAUGUUAAGUGGAAAAGGAUGUGGGGUUGCACAGACAACUAGGAUGUUAGCUUAGAAGCAGCUAUUCAUUCAAAGAGUGCGUAAUAGCUCACUAGUCGAGUGACCCUGCGCCGAAAAUGUACCGGGGCUAAAACAUAUUACCGAAGCUGUGGAUACCUUUAUAGGUAUGGUAGGAGAGCGUUCUAUGUGCGAAGAAGGUGUACCGUGAGGAGUGCUGGAGCGCAUAGAAGUGAGAAUGCCGGUAUGAGUAGCGAAAGACAGGUGAGAAUCCUGUCCACCGUAAGACUAAGGUUUCCAGGGGAAGGCUCGUCCGCCCUGGGUUAGUCGGGACCUAAGGAGAGACCGAAAGGUGUAUCCGAUGGACAACAGGUUGAUAUUCCUGUACUAGAGUAUAUAGUGAUGGAGGGACGCAGUAGGCUAACUAAACCAGACGAUUGGAAGUGUCUGGCCAAGCAGUGAGGUGUGAUAUGAGUCAAAUGCUUAUAUCUAUAACAUUGAGCUGUGAUGGGGAGCGAAGUUUAGUAGCGAAGUUAGUGAUGUCACACUGCCAAGAAAAGCUUCUAGCGUUAAUUAUACUCUACCCGUACCGCAAACCGACACAGGUAGUCGAGGCGAGUAGCCUCAGGUGAGCGAGAGAACUCUCGUUAAGGAACUCGGCAAAAUGGCCCCGUAACUUCGGGAGAAGGGGCGCUGACUUAUGGUCAGCCGCAGUGAAUAGGCCCAAGCAACUGUUUAUCAAAAACACAGCUCUCUGCUAAAUCGUAAGAUGAUGUAUAGGGGGUGACGCCUGCCCGGUGCUGGAAGGUUAAGAGGAGUGCUUAGCGUAAGCGAAGGUAUGAAUUGAAGCCCCAGUAAACGGCGGCCGUAACUAUAACGGUCCUAAGGUAGCGAAAUUCCUUGUCGGGUAAGUUCCGACCCGCACGAAAGGCGUAAUGAUUUGGGCACUGUCUCAACGAGAGACUCGGUGAAAUUUUAGUACCUGUGAAGAUGCAGGUUACCCGCGACAGGACGGAAAGACCCCAUGGAGCUUUACUGCAGUUUGAUAUUGAGUAUCUGUACCACAUGUACAGGAUAGGUAGGAGCCUAUGACCUCGGGACGCCAGUUUCGAGUGAGGCGUUGUUGGGAUACUACCCUUGUGUUAUGGCUACUCUAACCCGGUAGGUUCAUCAUCUACGGAGACAGUGUCUGACGGGCAGUUUGACUGGGGCGGUCGCCUCCUAAAAGGUAACGGAGGCGCCCAAAGGUUCCCUCAGAAUGGUUGGAAAUCAUUCGCAGAGUGUAAAGGUAUAAGGGAGCUUGACUGCGAGAGCUACAACUCGAGCAGGGACGAAAGUCGGGCU